CCGGCUUUAACUCAGUGCACAGUCCAGGGCCAGGCUAACUGUUACCCUAACAGUUAAUCUCUUCUCCAUACAAAGCAACACAUUGUCAUGACGCUGGCUUUGUUGCAACAUGCUAAUCUGUCAACUUCACGAGCACUUUCUGCCUCCUUCAACCUCUUUAUAGAAUGUCAUCAGAACUCGCAACAUGAACAUGAUACACCAUCAUGUGUAGAAAAGUUUGUGGAUCAGGAGAGGCUUAACACACCGACGCAGCAUUGCCUCCCCAGCUGCAACGCCCAGACCCUUCCAGCCAGUGGGAGAGAGAGGUAGUCGCAGACUGCAGAGGGAGAGAGAGAGAGAGAGAGCAAGAGAGAAGGCACUUUGCAAGCCUCUUCCAGACCGACCUCACGCUGGGAUUCCAUAGAGAGACGGCGGGCGAGUGACAGCGAGUUGCAGCAAAAGAGAGAGAGAGACGUUGAGGCUCUGUUGCAGUUGAGGUCUCUACCACAGCCCCUUAGGAUGACCGAGAAACAGCUCCCGGGGAUAGUGCUCCACUCACCCCUUCGCCUCCACCAACGGCUCCACCCACAGCUCUACUCCCACCUCCACCCGCCUCCACCCAGGCCUCCACCAAGGCCUCCCUUGCCAGGGCCUUGAACACUGACCCUCAGUAGAAGCUUGUUUCCAAGUAAAAGGUUGUGACGGACGCACGGACAAACACACAGAACAAACAACAGGUUCCACUCCAUCAAUCCUCUUUUCUUUUUUUCUUUCUUUCUUUCUUUCUUUCUUUCUUUCUUUCUUUCUUUCUUUCUUUCUUUCUUUCUUUCUUUAUUUUCCUUCAUUUCUUCCAUCCUAUUUUUCUUUCAUUCUUCCUCUCGAGUUCUCUCUUGAUUUUUAGGUAUUAUAUCCAUUGUCCCUUUCUCUGAAGGAAAUGGAAAAGAGGACGACCGACAGACAGACAGACAGACAGACAGACAGACAGACAGACAGACAGACAGACAGACAGACAGACAGACAGACAGACACUGCUACAUAUGGGGUGAAAGGGCCUUUUGAGGCGAACUGAUUUGGAAAUAGUUGAAGAUCAAAAAACACUAACACGCAAUGGAGAGAUUUAGGAGGCCUGUUGUUACGGCGACACAAUGGCCUUACCUCUGUUCAUCAUUUCACAGACUACAGGGCACACUACAGAGUCUGUGUGUGUGUGUGUGUGUGUGUGUGUGUGUGUGUGUGUGUGUGUGUGUGUGUGUUGAAAAGCAGCUAUAGGCCUGGGACGAGGGGGGGUCUGUGCUUCUCAGGAUCUCCUUUCGCUUAGCCACAAACCGCCCCAUGCGUUAUUUAUCACUCUUAUUUCUCUCUCCCUUACUCAAUCAAUAUCUCGCUUACUCUCUUCCUCAUCUUCCUCAUCCUAAACAUGCUUAGAUCCACAAAGUAAGAUGUGUCCUACUUUGAUUGGAUUCAGAUGACUUAAUUAAUGGCGGCAGAAAGGGCUCAUCAUCUUAUACUUCACUCUCACGUUAGAGAUGCGUUUUUAAUGUUCCAGAAAGAUUGACGUCCCGCGAUACCAUUUCCUCCUCCAUGUGUUGACAUACGUACCAUAUUGUUAUAUAUUUAGUCCGUUACCGAUAUCCAUAAGCUACUUCCGAUAUAGAUCUUUAUCAUGGCGUCCUCAUGAUUAGCAAUUUCCACGUAAACAAAGAAAUUGCCUUUACUGAAUCGGCACAAAUCAAAUGCCUCCACCCUAAACUCAAACACACAAAUCACAUACAUCACAACCGAGGUGGAUAUCUCGGUGGAUCAAAGUCUGUUGGGUCGAUUAUACUCAAUCAUCGCCAUCAUCCUCAUCAACAACAUCAUCACCUUCAUCAUCACCAUCAUCAUCCUUUCUUCCUCUUGCUUCUGGUGACACGUGCAUGUCCGUCACAUGGCAUCAUGGCAUCUGGGGCCCCAUAUGUGUGUUGGAAAAUAAAUAAAAGGAAUAUUUUGUGUAAUUUUUCCGUCCCAAUGUGUCGCCAUGACCCCCCCUCCUCCCCCUCUCUCCAGUGAGGUCGUCGCUCUCUCCCCAGGGGUGAGGGGUGAAUAGGGGGGAAGCCUCACGCUAUUUAUACAGGGCAGACAGCUGGGGCCCCUGCAGCCAAUACGUGAGGUGUGUGUGUGUGUGUGUGUGUGUGUGUGUGUGUGUGUGUAACUUGAUGAUUACCCAAGCGUUUGAAACAUCUCUGUUGCUCACAAUUUUUUACCAGCUUUCCUCUCUCCCCUCGUUCUCUCUCUCGUUCUCUCCCUCAUUCUCUCUCCCUCGUUCUCUCCCUCGUUCUCUCCCUCGUUCUC
ensembl:lncRNA